AACAUUUCCAAACUCAGUUGCAUCCAAACAAAGAGCUUCUUCAUCUUUUAGCAUCCUCUCAGAGCCCCAAUCUGCAUCUAGAAGUACUGGAACGAACACCCCACCCUUUGCCUUCACCUGCUGCAUAUACCUACACCAUUUUCACAAAAACACAAGAAAGUUAGUGGCUUCCUAUGUUACAUAUAAACAAAAAACUCAGAAAUGGAGACGCUGAAAUCGGAAAUGGCGAAACAAUGUUUUCUUUCAAGAAUAUGCUUUAGAUGUGUUUCCGGAAAAUGAAAAAGAAAUGCUGAAAACGUAGGACUCGAUAAGUUUCGGUGCAAGUAUGUAGCACGGACACUUCAUUCAUCCAUUUUAUUCUGUUUUGGAAACGUAUUGUACACUUGAUGUUUGGAACACGAAACUUCAUUAUUACAUAAAAAGUCUUAAAAUAACACCAUUUCGCCGUAGCUGUGUCCAAGUGUAUUGUCUCCCCUGGCUAUAAAAAUGCACUGAUCUAGAAACAAACAACUCUUUCCGGAAGAUCAGAUUUUCAACAGUAUAAGUUAUAAAAUCACAAAUGACAGAGAAUUUACUCUAACCUGCAAAGCCACUUGUAUGCCCUUUUGAACAACACGGUUUCUGCACUUCUUACUGCACCCACAUUUACUCCAGCACUCCUUUACAAAUCUCCUGCUUAAAUGACCUUUACAUGGUUUUAUUCUCCUGCUCUUUUUACUGUAAAGGUCAUUUUGUAGCGGACAGAUUUCACAGAAAUAGAAGUAUUUUCUUUCAGGUUCGCGACUCAUUGCUAUACAUUCAUCCAAGAAUUCUUCCUUCAGUAAUCCUUCCUGUGUGUAAGCAAAUUCACCGCGAGUUUCUCCAGCACAUGCGCAGGGCAAAGCUGAGGACAGGCAAUCUCCAAUACAUUGUCCACAGAAAUUAUCUUCCGAUAUACGAGCAAGUGAAAAAUCAAUAUGAGCAUCCUUAUGAACCAUGUUAUUUUUUAUGUACAGAAAGUUUGGCAACUCUAGAGCACCAUAUUCAUUCACCAAGGGAAUCCGCAUUUUUUCUAA